UACAGAGGUGGCAAGCGUUGUUCGGAAUUACUGGGCGUAAAGGGCGCGUAGGCGGUCUUUUAAGUCUUGUGUGAAAUCCCUCGGCCCAACUGAGGAACUGCACGGGAUGCUGGAAGACUUGAGUUCGGGAGAGGGAAGCGGAAUUCCGGGUGUAGCGGUGAAAUGCGUAGAUAUCCGGAGGAACACCGGUGGCGAAGGCGGCUUCCUGGACCGAUUACUGACGCUGAGGCGCGAAAGCUAGGGGAGCAAACGGG
rnacentral:rRNA from 1 species